rnacentral:lncRNA from 1 species
GUCCUCCUUUAAUUCAAAAUAUUGAUACGUAACAAAAUUUCAGUAGUUUUGAUACCUCAUGCUGACCAUGCUGACUUGUACAACAAAAUUAUUUGACCGCAUAAACUAAAACUGACCAUAUGUACACUUUAAUUUGUAAAGUUAUAUACCUGUAUAGUAAAUCAGCCAUAUUUUUUGUGUUAGGAUUCAAUGUACAAUACAAUGGACAGCAAUAUUGCAAUACAAUAACAACAAAUUUGUGUUUGCAUACAUUUAGGGUGCUAGAAUGACCUCUUUUUAUUCAAAAUAUUGAUACGUAUCAAAAUUACAGUGUUUUGAUACCUCAUGCUGACUUGUACAACAAAAUAUUUUGAGCGCUUCCACCAAAACUGACCAUAUGUGCACUUAAAUUUGUAAAUCUAUAUACCAUAUAUACCCGCAUAGUAAUUCAGCCAUAUUUUUG